CGAGUUGGUCAGACAAUCGCUGCUUUAUCGUUGUAUUUGAGUAAUCAAGUAGACAGGUAAAGGGGAGGAAAGUCCGGGCUCCAUAGAGCAGAGUGCCAGAUAACGUCUGGGGGGCGAAAGCCUACGACAAGUGCAGCAGAGAGAAGACCGCCUAAGUACUUCGGUACCGGUAAGGGUGAAAGGGUGCGGUAAGAGCGCACCGGGCCACUGGUAACAGUUGGUUGCAAGGUAAACUCCACUCGGAGCAAGACCAAAUAGGGUUUCGUAUGGCGUGGCUCGCGUUGAAACCGGGUAGGUUGCUUGAGCCUUAGAGUGAUUUAAGGCCUAGACGAAUGAUUGUCCCUUUUCUUAGGAAAAGUACAGAACCCGGCUUAUCGACCAACUCAACAC
rnacentral:RNase_P_RNA from 1 species